GGAUCCCCUCUGAAGGCCUACACCCCGGUCGUGGUGACCCUGUGGUACCGUGCCCCAGAGCUGCUGCUUGGUGCCAAGGAAUACUCCACAGCUGUGGACAUGUGGUCAGUGGGCUGCAUCUUCGGGGAGCUGCUGACUCAGAAGCCUCUGUUCCCCGGGAAGUCGGAAAUCGAUCAGAUCAACAAAGUGUUUAAGGUGGGUCUGGGCUCUGCCGCAGGUGCGCUGUGGAUUUCAGAGGAGCUGCAGGAAUGGGGCUGCGGGGCGCACAGGUGCUGGAUUGAGAUGUGGACCAGGGCCACUAAGAGCCCUCCUGGUGGCUUCUCUGCCAGGACACAGGUGCCAACACCGUGGGCCACUUGGCAUGGCUGUUGAAGCACCUCUGUCUUUCAGGAUCUGGGGACCCCCAGUGAGAAAAUUUGGCCUGGCUACAGUGAGCUCCCAGCAGUGAAGAAGAUGACCUUCAGCGAGCACCCCUACAACAACCUCCGCAAGCGCUUCGGGGCUCUGCUGUCAGACCAGGGCUUCGACCUCAUGAACAAGUGAGCCCAGUGCAGCCGGGCGGCGGGAGGUCCCGAGCCAUAGCGGUGGCUUCCCGGUCCCAGGCCUACCUGCUGUCUCACCACCUUCCAGAACUGCUCUGGUGCCUGGCGUCCCAUGCCCUGAGCCCUGUCCCAACAUAGCCCAUCUUUGGGGUACCCAGUGGAGCACACGAGCGCCUCCUGGGCCUCUGGCCCUCUCCCCCCAGGUUCCUGACCUACUUCCCCGGGAGGAGGAUCAGCGCGGAGGACGGCCUCAAGCACGAGUAUUUCCGCGAGACCCCCCUGCCCAUCGACCCCUCCAUGUUCCCCACGUGGCCCGCCAAGAGUGAGCAGCAGCGUGUGAAGCGGGGCACCAGCCCAAGGCCCCCUGAGGGAGGCCUGGGCUACA
rnacentral:sRNA from 1 species